rnacentral:rRNA from 1 species
UUCCGUAGGGGUGACCUGCGGAGGGAUCAUUACUGAGUUAUCCAAAAACUCCCAACCCUAUGUGAACUUACCACUGUUGCCUCGGCGAGCUGCGCUACCCUGUAGCUACUUUUGUAGCGACCUGGGAGCGCGUUAUAGGCUCGCCAGAGGACCACUAAACUCUGUUUUAUUUUGUAUCUCUGAAUCUUACAACUGAAAUCAGUUAAAACUUUCAACAACGGAUCUCUUGGUUCUGGCAUCGAUGAAGAACGCAGCGAAAUGCGAUAAGUAAUGUGAAUUGCAGAAUUCAGUGAAUCAUCGAAUCUUUGAACGCACAUUGCGCCCAUUAGUAUUCUAGUGGGCAUGCCUAUUCGAGCGUCAUUUCAACCCUUAAGCCUUAGUAGCUUAGCGUUGGGAAUCUACAGGUUACAGCGUAGUUCCUUAAAGGUAGUGGCGGAGUUAGAGCACACUCUAAGCGUAGUACUUGUUUCUCGCUUCUGGUAGUGGCUUUGGCGGCCGGCCGUGA